rnacentral:rRNA from 1 species
CCCAGACUCCUACGGGAGGCAGCAGUGAGGAAUAUUGGUCAAUGGGCGCGAGCCUGAACCAGCCAAGUCGCGUGAGGGAUGACGGCCCUACGGGUUGUAAACCUCUUUUGUCGGGGAGCAAAUUCCGUUACGUGUAACGGAGUCGAGAGUACCCGAAGAAAAAGCAUCGGCUAACUCCGUGCCAGCAGCCGCGGUAAUACGGAGGAUGCGAGCGUUAUCCGGAUUUAUUGGGUUUAAAGGGUGCGUAGGCGGACGCUUAAGUCAGCGGUAAAAUUGCGGGGCUCAACCUCGUCGAGCCGUUGAAACUGGGUGCCUUGAGUGGGCGAGAAGUACGCGGAAUGCGUGGUGUAGCGGUGAAAUGCAUAGAUAUCACGCAGAACUCCGAUUGCGAAGGCAGCAUACCGGCGCGCAACUGACGCUCAUGCACGAAAGCGUGGGUAUCGAACAGGAUUAGAUACCCCCGUAC